GCGGGAAUAGCUCAGUUGGUAGAGCACAACCUUGCCAAGGUUGGGGUCCGCGGGUUCGAGUCCCGUUUCCCGCU
rnacentral:tRNA from 1 species